GAAGGGGGCUAGUGUUGUUCGGAAUUACUGGGCGUAAAGCGCAUGUAGGCGGGUCGUUAAGUCGGGGGUGAAAGCCCAGAGCUCAACUCUGGAACUGCCUUCGAUACUGGCGACCUGGACCCAAGGAGAGGCGAGUGGAAAUUGCGAGUGUAGAGGUGAAAUUCGUAGAUAUUCGCAGGAACACCCGUGGCGAAGGCGACUCGCUGGACUUGUGGUGACGCUGAGAUGCGAAAGCGUGGGGAGCAAACAGGAUUAGAUACCCUGGUAGUCCACGCCGUAAACGAUGGAUGCUAGUUGUCAGUAGGCAUGCCUAUUGGUGACGCAGCUAACGCCUUAAGCAUCCCGCCUGGGGAGUACGGCCGCAAGGUU
rnacentral:rRNA from 1 species